rnacentral:rRNA from 1 species
UACCAGCACCCCGAGUGGUCGGGACGUUUAUUGGGCCUAAAGCAUCCGUAGCCGGUUCUACAAGUCUUCCGUUAAAUCCAACUGCUUAACAGGUGGGCUGCGGAAGAUACUAUAGAGCUAGGAGGCGGGAGAGGCAAGCGGUACUCGAUGGGUAGGGGUAAAAAUCCGUUGAUCCAUUGAAGACCACCAGUGGCGAAGGCGGCUUGCCAGAAUGCGCUCGACGGUGAGGGAUGAAAGCUGGGG